rnacentral:rRNA from 1 species
UACGGAGGGUGCGAGCGUUGUCCGGAAUCACUGGGCGUAAAGGGCGCGUAGGCGGCCGAGCAAGGUCGCGGUGAAAGCCCGGGGCUCAACCCCGGGUCGGCCGUGGCAACUACUGGGCUGGAGCACUGUAGGGGCGGGUGGAAUUCCGGGUGUAGCGGUGGAAUGCGUAGAGAUCCGGAAGAACACCGGUGGCGAAGGCGGCCCGCUGGGCAGUUGCUGACACUGAGGCGCGACAGCGUGGGGAGCAAACAGG